UCUUCGACACCAAUCUCGUCGUGGCUUAAAUUUCGUACCAUACUUGGGAUGCCUCUUCCGAACGAGAUAAAAUUGGCUCGAUCCAGCUAGGGUUCCGUGAAUUGCCCAUGGAUGUUCGCCUUCUUGCUAUUUCGUGAUUCUUAAUGGUUCUGGAAACUUGUUUCGAAAGUUUUGGAUCGAUUUAGAAGGUAAUUCCGAGUGUUGGUGAUCGUAGAACCUGGUAUCAGAUGCUCGAUGCCGUAAAGUUGCCUGCUUUAUGGGGUGUGUGAUUCUGGGGUUAUGAAGAACAUACUCCUGUGCUCUUUGGCGGGGUCACAUUUACCUUUUUGUUGGGUUCAGGAUCUAUCCCACCGACUAAUAGGUUUCAAUGCAGUUGAAAUGACUGAAGAAGGCACAGCUACAUGCGGACGGUGCAAGGGAAGAAGCAAACCAAAGGACACCGAUGGACUGGAGAAAAGCAAAGGCAAGAAGGAUGUGAACGAAGAUGACCAUGUUUUAGAAGAGGGUGGAGAAGAAAAGAAGGAAGGUGAAGCAGAAGAGGAUGGCGAGGAAGAGAAGGCGAAACCAAAGAGGGAGGGGGAGGAAAAAAAGGAAGGUGAAAUAGAAGAUGAUGGAGAUAAAAAGAAGGAAGGGGAAGUAGAUGGGGAUGAAAUAAAGGGAAGGCGGAGAUGGGGAGAAGGAAGGUGAAGAAGUAGAAGAUGGAGACGAAACGAAGAAAGGUGAAGUAAAAGAAAAUGGAGACAAAAAGAAGAAAGAUAAAGAAGUGAUCGAUGGUGAAGGAAAUGAGGAUGGAUGGCCGACAACACACGACAGAUUUGGAAUGUGUGGGCGGAGAAAAAGAGGCCACCGAGAAAGUAAAUACAGUAGAAAAUGGUGGAUGUAGAUGACGUCAAAGAUGAAGAAAAAGGUUGGUUGUGUCACGUGAUUGCUUUCGUCAUCGACUUGAGAUGUGAUAGCGCCAUAACACCGGUUGGAGACUCGUCCGUCUCCUUUGCCUUAUCGAGAAUAUAAAUUUCUUUUCUUGAAAAUAUCAUAAAAUAAUAUAAUUAUUUUAAGAAUUGAAUUGAGUAAUUAUUUAUCCAAUUCCAACAGCUUAAUCUAUCAAAAAAAACUAAUAUAUACAAUUAAUGAUCAGUAUAAUGAUUGAGUGGUACCGGCUUUAGUAUACAAUUAAUGAUCAGUCACUGUAUCGAUGACUCGUCGACUGGCUAUAUAGAGGGAGUUUUUGGUUAUCCGCUUCUCAACCAGCUUGGGGUCUUAACUUUCGAGAGAUGGCAGAGAUCGCCACGGUAAUUAUCACGGUGGACCUGCACUGCUGCACCUGCUCCAAGAAGAUCAAGAAAACUCUGUGCAAGCUCCAAAGCAAGCUACCUUCUCCCUCUCUCUCUCUCUUUUUGCUGACUAAUUUCUGUGGAAAUUGGUCGUUGUGUUGGAGACCGGUUCAACAUCGAAUCAAUUGUCUACGACGAGAAGAAGAACACCAUCACAGUAUCCGGCCCCUUCAACCCUGACUGCUUCAUCAAGAAGCUUCGCUGCCUCGCCUGCAAGGUGAUCAUAUGUGUCCAGAUCAAGCCGAAACCCGUCAAACCACCGCCACCGCCACCGCCGCCUAAGGUGGAGGUGGAGGUGAAUUUAGACGUGUGUGUUUUCCCGCCCCCGGGGUGGCCCAACUGCUGUGCCUGCGACGGCCCCCCGCCGUCCGCCUCCUGCCGUCCCUGUCGCGAGUUUGACGGCUGCAGGAUCAUCGUCGAGCAGGAGCCUUGUCAGUCCUGCUCUAUUAUGUAGUUUCCUAUACGUAUUCUUAUUCUCGUUGCAAGAUGUUAUUGGGUAAGAGAUAACGGAUAAGGCGGACAGAGGUAAACGUCAUGUGACUUCCUCUGUCAGCAAUGUACGUAUGUGAUGAUAUAUAUGUUUAUGCUGUUAUAUCUCAGUCGUCGCAAUAUGAUGUUUAUAUAGA